AGUCAUACGACUGAGCACACCACCAAUUGGUACGGCCGUAUGCUCUGUAUCAAAAGUGGGAAUGGGAGAGAAAUGAAUAUUUGCUUAAAAUGAAUCCAAACUAUCAAAAGACCUUUCCAAGAAGGAAAACUCAAGUGUUCAUUUCAGCUGAAAGGGAGAUCACUAUUCCUGACUCAGAAAACAGGAGCCAUCACAGGACUUCUCCAUCAGUACCUUCUAACAGUUUGAUGGAUGUCAAAAGCUCCUUGGAUUGCCUCCCCUGAUUCCCACAUUGUGGAUUCCACUGUUAAAACAUCCUGUACACGGUCCGGAGCCGAAACACUGAGGUCCCUUUGGAGAUUCCAGCUUUGAAUGGAAAAUGAGCAUCUCUGCGACUUAAAACCACUUCACUGAGCAAUGGUUUGACCUCCAGCCUGCUUCUGUGUAAGAAUCAAUCAGUAACCAAUUUAGGUGAACUGGAUUUUCCAUCUUGUGGGCCCUGGUUCCUGGUUUCUUUUGCAACCAGAGUCUUGAAUCUGAGCAACUGUUCACUCUGGCCUCUGACCAGGAUCAGCAGAACUUAAGUCUACUCCAGCAGAAUGAGUGACCUAGGGACUUCUACGAAAAAAGGAUGUCAUAAAAAACUUUGUGAAAAAUGAAAUUUCUCUGCUUCUACUCUUAAAGUCUGUUCAUUUUGGAAACUAGGAAUUUUCUAGUAAAAAGAAAUUAAUGAAUAAAAUCAGCAAUUUCUAAUCUAUAUUUGUA
rnacentral:lncRNA from 1 species